GAUGAACGCUGGCGGCGUGCCUAAUACAUGCAAGUCGAGCGAACGGACGAGAAGCUUGCUUCUCUGAUGUUAGCGGCGGACGGGUGAGUAACACGUGGAUAACCUACCUAUAAGACUGGGAUAACUUCGGGAAACCGGAGCUAAUACCGGAUAAUAUUUUGAACCGCAUGGUUCAAAAGUGAAAGACGGUCUUGCUGUCACUUAUAGAUGGAUCCGCGCUGCAUUAGCUAGUUGGUAAGGUAACGGCUUACCAAGGCAACGAUGCAUAGCCGACCUGAGAGGGGGAUCGGCCAAACUGGAACUUGGGAACCGUCCCGACUCCUAAGGGAGGCAGCAGUAGGGAAUCUUCCGCAAUGGGCGAAAGCCUGACGGAGCAACGCCGCGUGAGUGAUGAAGGUCUUCGGAUCGUAAAACUCUGUUAUUAGGGAAGAACAUAUGUGUAAGUAACUGUGCACAUCUUGACGGUACCUAAUCAGAAAGCCACGGCUAACUACGUG
rnacentral:rRNA from 1 species